AGUAAGGUACCUUAUUUAAAGGGGCACUCUGAUACGGUGGACAUGCUAAUAGCCCUUACUU
rnacentral:tRNA from 1 species